rnacentral:rRNA from 1 species
CCUACGGGCGGCAGCAGUGAGGAAUAUUGGUCAAUGGUCGGGAGACUGAACCAGCCAAGCCGCGUGAGGGAGGAAGGUACAGAGUAUCGUAAACCUCUUUUGUCAGGGAACAAAGACUGGGACGCGUCCCCGGAUGAGUGUACCUGAAGAAAAAGCAUCGGCUAACUCCGUGCCAGCAGCCGCGGUAAUACGGGGGAUGCGAGCGUUAUCCGGAUUUAUUGGGUUUAAAGGGGGCGCGGGCGGUCUGUUAAGUCAGCGGGCAAAGCCCGGGGCUCAACCCCGGCCCGCCGUUGAAACUGGCAGUCUCGAGUUGGAGAGAAGUAUGCGGAAUGCGCGGUGUAGCGGUGAAAUGCAUAGAUAUCGCGCAGAACUCCGAUUGCGAAGGCAGCAUGCCGGCUCCACACUGACGCUGAGGCACGAAAGCGUGGGUAUCGAACAGGAUUAGAUACCCGGGUAGUC